CCUACGGGACGCAGCAGUGGGGAAUAUUGCACAAUGGGGGAAACCCUGAUGCAGCGACGCCGCGUGAGUGAAGAAGUAUUUCGGUAUGUAAACUUCUAUCAGCAGGGAAGAAAGUGACGGUACCUGACUAAGAAGCCCCGGCUAACUACGUGCCAGCAGCCGCGGUAAUACGUAGGGGGCAAGCGUUAUCCGGAUUUACUGGGUGUAAAGGGAGCGUAGGCGGCGAUACAAGUCAGAAGUGAAAGCCCGGGGCUCAACUCCGGGACUGCUUUUGAAACUGUAUGGCUAGAUUGCAGGAAAGGCAA
rnacentral:rRNA from 1 species